rnacentral:rRNA from 1 species
AUUGACCGCUGGCGUCAUGCUUAACACAUGCAAGUCGAGCGAGCGGCGGACGGGUGAGUAAUGUCUGGGAAACUGCCUGAUGGAGGGGGAUACCUACUGGAAACGUUAGCUAAUCCCGCAUACCAUCCGAUGUUCCCAGAUGGGCUUAGCUAGUCGGUGGGGUAAUGGCUCACCUAGGCGACGAUCCCUAGCUGGUCUGAGAGGAUGACCAGCCACACUGGAACUGAGACACGGUCCAGACUCCUACGGGAGGAAGCAGUGGGGAAGAUUGCACAAUGGGCGCAAGCCUGAUGCAGCCAUGCCGCGUGUGUGAAGAAGGCCUUCGGGUUGUAAAGCACUUUCAGCGAGGAGGCGUUACUCGCAGAAGAAGCACCGGCUAACUCCGUGCCAGCAGCCGCGGUAAUUC